GCCUGAAGCUUGAAUUGGCUUUCAAAUAUGACUCAACAACUUAAAAGCUGGAUGAUUUUAGGACUCCGCCCAGCAACGGGAAUGCUGGGCAGGAGAACCACACUCCCGAGACUAGAGACUUGAGCCUCAGACUUGCUCAGAAGUACCAAAAAGCAAAGAAAGUCUGGCCGUUAGAACUGCCACUCUGCCGUCAGAGAGAUUGGAGACUCCAGAGGCUGCAAACAGGGGAGGCAGUAACCACAGAUCCAGCUGAUUCUACCAACUACUCACUGUUCACCAGGCUAUUCCAAGAUGACAAGGCUCUCAGAGAUCAAGGAUCAGAAGUUGUCCCAAGAAAACCACUCCUAAGGGACAGGAGGAAGAGGCGACCAGUGUCUCUGUCAGUGUGUCCGUCUUUCUUUCUAAUGGACUACGAAGAGGAGGCCUCCUGAAUGGCCAGCCCAGCCC